rnacentral:rRNA from 1 species
GACGAACGCUGGCGGCGUGCCUAAUACAUGCAAGUUGAGCGCUGAAGGUUGGUACUUGUACCAACUGGAUGAGCAGCGAACGGGUGAGUAACGCGUGGGUAAUCUGCCUUUGAGCAGGGGACAACAUUUGGAAACGAAUGCUAAUACCGCAUAAAAACUUUAAACACAAGUUUUAAGUUUGAAAGAUGCAAUUGCAUCACUCAAAGAUGAUCCCGCGUUGUAUUAGCUAGUUGGUGAGGUAAAGGCUCACCAAGGCGAUGAUACAUAGCCGACCUGAGAGGGUGAUCGGCCAAAUUGGGACUGAGACACGGCCCAAACUCCUACGGGAGGCAGCAGUAGGGAAUCUUCGGCAAUGGACGAAAGUCUGACCGAGCAACGCCGCGUGAGUGAAGAAGGUUUUCGGAUCGUAAAACUCUGUUGGUAGAGAAGAACGUUGGUGAGAGUGGAAAGCUCACCAAGUGACGGUAACUACCCAGAAAGGGACGGCUAACUACGUG